ensembl:lncRNA
GCCGCGACGGGCAGCUCAAAGUCGGCUUAGUUGUGCUCCGCGCCGCCGCCCGCUGCUCCGGCACCAUGUCCCUCUGCAGGGCCGCCUCGCAGGCGCUGGCCUCCCGCCUGAGCAGGGCUCCUGCCGCCGCCGGCCGCCUCAAGCAGCGUGCACCUCCUCGCCAGAUGUCAUCUGGGAGUGUUCCUGGCUCUUCUAGAGACAGCAUGAUGAUCUAUCUCCUUGCUGGUGUUGCUGCUUUUGGUGGUUUAUUUUAUGCCUACAGAGUAGUCAGUUCAUCCCGCAGCAAGUUUGUUGAACAUUCAAGUAUUCUUCGUGAGAGAACCGAGGGGCAGAACAGCAAUCCUUGGUCAAGGAAGGUUUCUGAGGAGGAGAAGACAACUGAAGAAGUUGCUAAAGAGCCCUAAAGAGUGGACACCUUUGGAAAGUUUAAUGCAAAUAUUUGUGGCAAUCAACCAGCUGAUUCCGGUGUGAAACCUCAUACUCUUCCUUGAAGACAUAAAAGAAACUCUGCAGUUUGUCCCACCCACACAUUGGCCAUUAUGGCCAGUAUUCAGUGCUGCAAGAGAUGAUUUGCAUUGCCUAGAGAAAUGCUUCUGUGACUAACAACUCUGCUGUAGAGAGUAGCUUCCAGUCAAGCCACUCAGCAUGUCCUAAAUACAUGUGCUAAGAGAAGCAGUAGACUUAACUAAACCAUGCCAUAUGAACUCCUUCUAUGUCAUUGUUGUCCUGAUAUGUACAUUGAUUCCUUACUUUUGGUCCAAACUAUUGUGUGUAGUUAUACCUUUGUAACAUUCCAUGCUAAAAUGUAAACAAAAGGUUUUAAAAUCAAGUCAAAAUAUUACAAAACUACAUGUUAGCAUUUUAAAAUUGGAUCACAGGGAAAAUAACAACGUGUUUGCUCCUGAGUUUGGAUUUGUGAUUGUAAGCAUAAGACAUCUGGCUGUGCAUGACCUAAUUUUCCCCCUGCAUAAAUAUUUCAGAUGAUACCACUCCUUGCACAGUAACAUCUAGGAGUAAACAUUUUAAGGCUCCUGCUUCGGGAAGAAAACCUGUUUGCAGGUAGUAGCCAUAGGUACUUUAUAAGUGGUGGCUGGCUCCUGCCUUGGGUGUGCUGGGCUCUGCUCCUCCCAAAUCUCGUUCAGCUUGCUGUGGUCUUUCUGUGUUGCUCUGUCUUGGCAGUGGCAUAUACUGGUAGUGUAACAACACAAAAGUUUGGUAGAAGCUUUCAAACUGGUACAAAUUACAAGCCCUUUAGGCCAUGGCAAAGCCUGUCUCUAACCACUUGCACACAGAGAGCAAAAUCCCUGUGAAGGGCUAUUCAACAGGUGUUCAAAUGGACAGGCAUUCUUAGGGACUAAGAAAGAACCAAACAGCUAAAUGGCCUUGUUUUCUCAGUAUUAGCUUCACAAAAAUUACAUUUAUUAUGAAUAACAGGUUUGAAUGCCACUGUGCUCCCAACCUUCAUGUGCUACAUGCAUGAGCAUGCAUCUGAGACCCCAUUUCAGCCAUCACAGAAUGGCAAUGAUUCUAAACCAGAGCCAAAUAAGGUAUAUUAUGUACUAUUUAUAUAGAAAGUGUGUUGCAUAAGGUGUGUCUGACUCUUUUCUCUUCAAGAAGAAGUUUGGAAAAUGUUGAAAGGGAAACGACAGCAUUAAUGACAUUCCUACCCACAGCACAAAGCAACACAUGCUCCUUCCCCCAUCAUAAAGCAAAUUAUAAUAGUGUUCCAACAAAGAUAUAGCCUGUUGCUCCUGGAUCUACUUAGGAAUAACUGGAAUAAUGCAAAGGCAAAAGCAGGCUCCUGAGCUUCAAGAAGACAAACCACAGCCUUCUGCUUAAAGGAUAAAGCCUCUGUGAUUAAAAGCAGUUUUUGUAGACCAAGCUACUGGAAUAAAAAUCUUAGACUAAUAUUUUGUUGGAUAAGAGUCUAUAUUUAUCUUGUAGAUUAAAAAUGCUGUGAUGGAUGUAUGCACUUAAAUUUUCUAUUUCUUCAUUUUCACAAAUUACUAGUAAAAGAAGCUAUUUU